AUGAACGCUAGCUACAGGCUUAACACAUGCAAGUCGAGGGGCAGCAUGGUCUUAGCUUGCUAAGGCCGAUGGCGACCGGCGCACGGGUGAGUAACACGUAUCCAACCUGCCGUCUACUCUUGGACAGCCUUCUGAAAGGAAGAUUAAUACAAGAUGGCAUCAUGAGUCCGCAUGUUCACAUGAUUAAAGGUAUUCCGGUAGACGAUGGGGAUGCGUUCCAUUAGAUAGUAGGCGGGGUAACGGCCCACCUAGUCUUCGAUGGAUAGGGGUUCUGAGAGGAAGGUCCCCCACAUUGGAACUGAGACACGGUCCAAACUCCUACGGGAGGCAGCAGUGAGGAAUAUUGGUCAAUGGGCGAGAGCCUGAACCAGCCAAGUAGCGUGAAGGAUGACUGCCCUAUGGGUUGUAAACUUCUUUUAUAAAGGAAUAAAGUCGGGUAUGGAUACCCGUUUGCAUGUACUUUAUGAAUAAGGAUCGGCUAACUCCGUGCCAGCAGCCGCGGUAAUACGGAGGAUCCGAGCGUUAUCAGGAUUUAUUGGGUUUAAAGGGAGCGUAGAUGGAUGUUUAAGUCAGUUGUGAAAGUUUGCGGCUCAACCGUAAAAUUGCAGUUGAUACUGGAUAUCUUGAGUGCAGUUGAGGCAGGCGGAAUUCGUGGUGUAGCGGUGAAAUGCUUAGAUAUCACGAAGAACUCCGAUUGCGAAGGCAGCCUGCUAAGCUGCAACUGACAUUGAGGCUCGAAAGUGUGGGUAUCAAACAGGAUUAGAUACCCUGGUAGUCCACACGGUAAACGAUGAAUACUCGCUGUUUGCGAUAUACUGCAAGCGGCCAAGCGAAAGCGUUAAGUAUUCCACCUGGGGAGUACGCCGGCAACGGUGAAACUCAAAGGAAUUGACGGGGGCCCGCACAAGCGGAGGAACAUGUGGUUUAAUUCGAUGAUACGCGAGGAACCUUACCCGGGCUUAAAUUGCAGAUGAAUUACGGUGAAAGCCGUAAGCCGCAAGGCAUCUGUGAAGGUGCUGCAUGGUUGUCGUCAGCUCGUGCCGUGAGGUGUCGGCUUAAGUGCCAUAACGAGCGCAACCCUUGUUGUCAGUUACUAACAGGUUCCGCUGAGGACUCUGACAAGACUGCCAUCGUAAGAUGUGAGGAAGGUGGGGAUGACGUCAAAUCAGCACGGCCCUUACGUCCGGGGCUACACACGUGUUACAAUGGGGGGUACAGAGGGCCGCUACCACGCGAGUGGAUGCCAAUCCCCAAAACCUCUCUCAGUUCGGACUGGAGUCUGCAACCCGACUCCACGAAGCUGGAUUCGCUAGUAAUCGCGCAUCAGCCACGGCGCGGUGAAUACGUUCCCGGGCCUUGUACACACCGCCCGUCAAGCCAUGGGAGCCGGGGGUACCUGAAGUGCGUAACCGCGAGGAGCGCCCUAGGGUAAAACUGGUGACUGGGGCU
rnacentral:rRNA from 1 species